rnacentral:rRNA from 1 species
GUGGGGAAUCUUCCGCAAUGGACGAAAGUCUGACGGAGCAACGCCGCGUGAGUGAAGAAGGUUUUCGGAUCGUAAAGCUCUUUCGUUAGGGACGAACGUGCUCUUUGUGAAUAAUGAGGAGUAAUGACGGUACCUAAAUAAGAAGCCACGGCUAACUACGUGCCAGCAGCCGCGGUAAUACGUAGGUGGGAAGCGUUGUCCGGAAUUAUUGGGCGUAAAGCGCGCGCAGGCGGGAUAUCAAGUCUGUCUUAAAAGUGCGAGGCUCAACCUCGUGAGGGGACAGAAACUGGUAUUCUUGAGUGUCGGAGAGGAAAGUGGAAUUCCAAGUGUAGCGGUGAAAUGCGUAGAGAUUUGGAAGAACACCAGUGGCGAAGGCGACUUUCUGGACGAUGUCUGACGCUGAGGCGCGAAAGCUAGGGGAGCGAACGGGAUUAGAUACCCUGGUAGUCC